UACGGGGGGGGGGUAAGCGUUGUUCGGAAUUACUGGGCGUAAAGGGCUCGUAGGCGGCCAACUAAGUCAUACGUGAAAUCCCUCAGCUUAACUGGGGAACUGCGUGUGAUACUGGAUGGCUUGGAUUUGGGAGAGGGAUGCGGAAUUCCAGGUGUAGCGGUGAAAUGCGUAGAUAUCUGGAGGAACACCGGUGGCGAAGGCGGCAUCCUGGACCAAUAUUGACGCUGAGGAGCGAAAAGCCAGGGGAGCAAAGCGGG
rnacentral:rRNA from 1 species